ensembl:lncRNA
AGAUUGGACACUAAAUGUUUCAGGCAACUCAGCUGGGCACUUACACUAAAGCAUUGCCUAAAAGGGCUCUUUCUGUGAAAUCCAAAGGCUGCUGGCAAUCCUAUCCUCUUUGGUCAUAUUUUUUCCAAGGUUCUUGUUCUUCUGAUUUUAUUGUCAGUAACCACUGAAGAAAAAGCAAGGUCUAAUCAGAACCCAGGGGAAGAAUGCAUGUUUCUUCAGAGGAAGUAUCUAGAAUUUCCCUUAGGAACUUGACAUUCAUGUGUUGCCUGCUCAUUUCCGCGUGACUGCCACUGCCACCACCCCAGGACUUUGGACUUGGUAAUUUAGGAAUCCUUUGAUCCCUUUGCUUAAUGUUUUCUGGACUCAAGUACUUCUUUCAUCAGAUGGUUUUAUGUGUUAGUAGCACUUCAGCUCAGUAGACUUUUAAAGGCCAGCCCAGGAACCUAAUCGCUAUUUGCAAUACUGAUCCUAUGGAAAACUGUGAUAUACACAGAGAAGCAAACAGGCAGCAACAACAACGUCUCCGUACCUCAUCUCCACGCUCAGACUCUACCCCUGAUCCGAUGGAAGGCGCUGGACACCCAGCAGCAGAUAUUGAUUUCCAUCUCAAGCUGAUAAUCUCAUGGCCACAAGCUUCCAGACCCCAGAUGUCACCUCUUCACUCAACAUUACCCAAAGCAGGAAGAGAAGGAGGGCAAACGGGCUUUCUCUCCAGGUGGCUCUGUCUUCACUCAGAGAGGAAUAUCUUGUCGAGAAGCUCCUCAAAGAUCCCCCGACUCACCCAAAACUGCCCCUAUACUAAACGUGCAAAGGAGAAUGGGAUUGCUAUGGUUGAAUGAAGCCAACAAGGAUCCAGUCGCUUGGGGCUCCACAGCACAUUGCUACCUGAACAAAAAUCAGGGACUCUGGCAAGGAAGAACAAGGAAUGGCUGUUAGAUAGGAAAGGAAGUGUCUGCCACAGAAGUCUUAACUCUGCCCAGACCACAUGAGGCUUAAAGACGUCUGCCCUCAGAGAAAAUGUGGCAUUCUGCAAGGAGGAUGGAGGAUGUACUCAAAUUUUUUAAUGCAAUGUAGCCUUCUUAUCCACUAGAAACUUCUGGAAUUCAGAAAGGACCAGGAGGCAGAUCUCUCAUUCAUUACCUCCUGAGCAGAUUUUUUAACAUCAUAAGCCUCCUUUUCCAUGUUUGUAAAAGGAGCUUAUAACAGGACUUUCCUCAAGGGUGUGUUAUGAGAAUUUUAAAAGUUAAUAGAAAGCACUUAGAACAGGUCUUCACCUGUGGCAAGCCCCAAAUAAAUCUUACCUCACUAUUAUUGCUCAGUGGUUAUGGGAAAUAAUUUUGAGUUUCUACAUAACCCGGGGCCACUGUUAGAAAAUCAUAAGAGCUUGAGAAUUUUGAGAUACCUAGGGCAGUUUCUGGGGCUGGUUUCAUAGAAACGCACAAUAAGGAAAGACUGAACAUGAAGAGAGAAAUUUUACGGGCUACACGUGUGACUUCUGACAGAAGAAGCUCAAAGCACUCACUCUGAACCAACAGAGACUUAGUGGACCCAAAUCUGUCUCAGAAUCCAGCAAAAUCCAGGAAGCUAGCAGUGUGAAGUUACGGACCCUUACACAGUCUUGCUUUCUCUAAGUCACUUCAGGGGCCAAUCUGAAGAAGUUCCAGUAAGAACUGUGGAGCACCAGAGCUUUGAUCUGCCCUCAGAGGUGGUGCUGACGUUGUGACGCUGUGCUGUCUCCUUGCCACGGAGCUAUUCCAGGAAGCAAGAGACUUUGAAACGACCCAGACGGCCUUUCAAGAGCUGUUGACAGGAGCAGGUGGGAGUCACCACAGCCAGCAGAAAAUGCCGCUGGGAGUCACUGCAAGCAACAAUAUAAAGAGGAAUGGCCACCAGGAACUGGAGCCCUGGCAUCUCCUGUCACUGCGGACCGUGAUCCACGAAAGCUGGCACCAUCAAUAACAAUCUCUAGAAGACAGUGCUAGAAACUGCCGAUGGAGUGGCUCCUCAUCAUUCAAAGCAGCAGACCCUAGGUCAAAACUGGGAGAUCUUACUGCUGGGAAGUCCUGGCCCUCCUCACCAUCGGUUCAAUGGAUCAAAGUGCUGGUCAUUGAAUAGCAAACUUUAGAGGGAACAACACGGUCUUGGAGUUAAAAGACCUGGACUUGAGUUCUGGAUUUUCCAUUCUGUGACCUUGGGAAGCUGUGAGCAAAUGAAAACAGGGUUUGGCGGGAGCAUUUUGCCACCUCUACCAUAGGACGGGUCACUGCCGACAGCAUCCUUGUUGAUGCGACGUUUGGCAAAGGGCCUACUGCAGAAAUACAGUCUGCGACUUUAUUUUUCUGGAGAUUUCAUCCAUGAAGACUUUCUUUUCCAGUUACAAAGUUCUCCCAAGAGGGACAGAGCUGCUUUUUGGAAACCUGUGACGUCUUGGCAAGGCCUACCCUGUUUACCAUGGAAACUUGUCCUCGGGUAGAAUUACAGCGUAUGACCUGGUACCAGCAUAGAUGGAUGUUUGAUGCCUGCUAUUUUCUCUUCAUGUUCAUUUGGAAAUUAUAAAUCAUGGAACCAGAUCAAAUAACUUUGAUCUUUCCAGGUCAUUCAUUCAUUGUGGCAUACGGUCAUAUCUGCAUGGACUUGAAAACACAUUGGCAGAUGACAGAACAUAUGUUACGAUUAAAAUGUUCAGGUUUGAUUCUGGUUAAUCUGCAUAGGGUUGCCUGAGAAGGGCAUUGAUGUUUGUGAGCAUGGAUGGCUUAUCUGUUGUUUUUUUCGUAGAGAGUUCUAAAAUAUCGUAUGGCUUCGAAAUUACAUUGACGGGUUAUAUUUUUUUAAAUGAGAAAGAGAGAAAUUAACUAACCCUGCCUGCAAGCAGAUGCUAUCUGCUUUCUUCUAAAUAACUGUUUAAAACAUCUGGCCCAGGAUUGUGGAGGAGAUUUGUUUUUAUGUCUUUGGGAAAUAGUCUAGUUCGGGACCUCACCACUUCUUUCCUGGGUUACUGCAAUAGUUUUCUAACUUGAUCUCAGACUACAGCUCUUGCAUCCCACCCUCAAUCCGUCUGCCAUACUCCUACUGGCACUGUCAUUCAAAAAAAAGAUCUGAUCGCCCCAACCCAGUUGUUAAAACCCUCCAAAGGUUUUAGGAGAAAGUGCCAAAUUUGCAUGGCAUGCAAAGUUCUAUCUUAGCUUUUCCUCUUGAUUCACACUACUUUCACUCUACAUGCCGCAUACCACAUGCCACUCUCUCGGUUAUCACUCAGUUGUGCAUCUCUGCCUUUGAACCAGCUGCUCCCAUGCAUAUAAUGUCACCUCUGGAACACCGCACCCUUUCCAUGGCUUGCUCCUAUCCGUCUUUUAGCUCACAUGCCACUUUCUCCAGAAACCAACCCAAAUUUUCUCCUCUAGGAAAGGUGACCCCCACAAGCGGUCCAGUAAGACUUGUGUGUAUCUCUAGGAUGGCGGCCAUCACACAGGACUGCAUUUUAAUAGCCAUGGAAGUUCCAAGAGAUCACAUUUUACCCAGAGUCUAACAAAUAUCCUGGCAUAUAGAUGGUACUCAAUAAAAAUUGGCAAAAUUAUGAAUGAACAAAAGGGUGAACGAAGGCAUAAAAUUUUUGCAUUUACAUUAUACUUGUUUUUCUGGUUAUGCUUUCAGACAUUGAUAUUCUUGAAUUUGUCAUUUUGAAGGAAUCUAAGUGAUCAGAAUUAUUUUUUCCCUUCCUGCAAUUUUGAGAAAACAAAGUAGGUUUAAGAACCAAAUUUGUCUCAAAGUUUAGACAAGCUAAAAAAAAUUGAAGAAUGCUCUUUUCAUGGCUAGCACAGCCACAGCUCGUGGUCCCGAGGAGCAUCUGAAGCAUGGAGCAGCUCCAAAGCACUGGAUGCUGAUAAACUGACCAGUGUGUCUGCUCCCUGUCCAUCUACCAGUCUCCACAAGCUGACAGAACGUCUUCCCCUCAUUUUCUAAGGAACAGACUUAAGUAUGCUCUGACAAGAGAAGAACUACAGAAGAUUCGCAUGCAGCAGUUCGUUAAGAUUGACUGCGAGGCUGGAACUGAUGUAACGUACCCUGCUGGUUCAAUAGAUGUCACUAGCAUUGACAAGGCUGGAGAGGAUUUUUGUCUUAUCCACGACACCAAGGGUCGCUUGCCAUUCAUCAUAUUACACCUGAGGAAGCCAAGUACAAGUUAUGCAAAGUUAGGCAGAUCUUUGUGGGCACAAAAGGAAUCCCUCAUCGGAUGACCCAUGAUGCUCACACCAACCACUACCCUGAUUUCUCAUCAAAGUGAAUGAUGUGAUUCAGAUUGAUCUGGAAACUGGCAAGAUUACUGAUUUCAUCAAGUUUAACACUGGUAACCUGUAUAUGGUGACUGGAGGUGCUGACCUUGGAAGAAUUGGUGUGAUCACCAACAGAGAGAUAUCCUGGUUCUUUUUCUUCUUUUCUUUCUUUGGUGAGGAGGAUUGGCCUUGAGCUAACAUCUGUUGCCAAUCUUCCGCUUUUAGCUUGAGGAGGAUUGUUGCUGAACUGACAUCUGUGCCAAUCUUCCUCUAUUUUGUAUAUGGGACGCCACCACAGCAUGGCUUGAUGAGUAGUGUGUAGUUCUGCACCCAGGAUCUGAACCCACAAACCCUGGGCCACCAAAGUGGAGCGCAUGAACUUAACCACUACACCACUGGGCCGGCCCACCAUCCUGGUUCUUUUGAGGUAGUUCAUGUGAAAGAUGCCACAGGCAACAGCUUCGCCACCCAACUCUCCAACAUUUUUUUAUUGGCAAAGACAACAAAGCACGGAUUUCUCUUCCCCAAGGAAAAGGGAUCCUCCUCACCAUUGCCUAAGAGAAAGACGAGAGACUGGCCGCCAAACAGGGCAGUGGGUGAAAUGAUCCCUUGGUGACAUGACUGGACGGUCUUUGUACUUAAUUAAAGAUAGGAUGGAGUGAUUAAAAAAACAAAAAGAAUUGAAGAACGGCACAAACCACUCACCAACUAAACGUUAUCUAUGCAGUCAUCAUGCAAAUGAUGUCGUGACCCUUUGCACUGUGUGCAUUAUAUUGACCCACUCAGAGCAGCUCGAAUAAAAAUGCCAGCCUUAGCUUGUGACCAAUAAGUUGCCUCCAGUUAUUCAUAGAUAUUGGUAAUUUUUAGGAUAAAAUCAUUUUAAAUUCACUUAAAUACAAAAGAAUUAAUGUAAAUGAUCUUCUUCAGCACUUUUGGUAAGAAGUAUGUUAUUAACCUGAAUCAGCAGCAGGGGUUACAAAUCCCCUUCAGAUUUGAAAUAAUCUGCUUUCAGGAUUUGUGGCUUUUCCACUUGUUCUCUUUUAUUCCUGCAUGUGCAUUGACGAUUCAAAGAGCCCAAUUCUUGACUCCAGUGUCAAUAAACCCAACUCCAGUCCAGAACUUGUGCUUCCUGAUGUCUUCCACCCAGGCUCCAAGGGGUAUAAGCAGUGUUUGAAAUCAGCCUUCUAUGUAGAAAAACAGUCUACAGUGUGAUAUGAAGUGCAGCAGACUUUCUAGCCCCGAAAUACAUCCCACCCUGCCCCCCGCCCUUACUGGUCAAUGUCUGAAACCACUUUGACAAACACAAACACACAAUAAGACUAAGGUUUAAGAGAUAAUCCACUGACUUAAAUUCACACUGCCUAUUAUGUUUCUCUUUUUGCCUUCUUUGCCAGGAAUCUCAGAGCCAAUUUAUUGUUUAGUUUGCAGUAAAACUUUUCUACAUUCUGUUUCAGGUAGAAACCCCAUCUUUCUUCCUAUAUUUUAUGGAUUAAAUCUUUGCGUCCCCCCAAAGUUUGCAUGUUGAAGCUCUCACCCCCAAUGUGGCUGUAUUUGGAGAUGGGGGCCUCCAAGGAAAUAAUUAAGGUUAAAUGAGGUCAUAAGGGUGGGGCCCUGAUCCCAUAAGAUUAGUGUCCUUACAAGAAGAGACCCCAGGGAGCUAGUGUGCUCUCUUUCUCUCUCCCUUCUUCCCUCCCCCCCUUCCCCCCGACACAAGCAAUAAGGAACAGCCAUGUGAGAACACAGCAAGAAGGCAACCAGGAAGAGGGCUCUUGCCAAAAACCAAGUCAGCUGGAACCUUGAUCUUGGACUUCCAGCCCCCAGAACUGUGAGAAAAUAAACUUCCGUUGUUUCAGCCGCCCAGCCUCCAGAGAUUUGCCAUGGCGGCCCAAGCCGACUAUUACACACAGUAUUCCCCCCUAUCCGUGGUUUCACUUUCUGCAGUUUCGGUUAACUUGUGGUCCAAAAAUAUUAAAUGGUAAAUUCCAGAAACAACAAGUUUUAAAGAAGUUUUAAAUACCAUGCUGUUCUGAAUAGCAUGAUGAAAUCUUGCACCAUCUCGUUCUGUCCCACCCAGGAUGUGAACCAUCCCUUUGUCCAGGGUGUCCAUGCUGUAUGCGCCACCUGCCUGUUAGUCACUCAGUAGCCGUCUGGGUUGUCAGAUCAGCUGUCGCGGUAUCACAGUGCUUGUGUUCAAGUAGCCCUUACUUUCCUUAAUAAUGCCCCAAAGUGCAAGAGCAGUGAUGCUGGCAGUUUGGAUAUGCCAAAGAGAAGUCGUAAAGGUACCUCCUUUAAGUGAAAAUGUGAAAGUUCUCGACUUAACAUGGAAAGGGAAAAGAUCAUAUGCUGAGGUUGCUAAGAUCUCUGGUAACUUUUAUUACAGUAUAUUGUUACAAUUGUUCCAUUUUAUUAUUAGUUAUUGUUGUUAAUCUCUUAUUGUGCCUAAUUUAUAAAUUAAACUCUAUCAUAGAUGUGUAUGUAUAGGAAAACACCGUACGUAUAGGGUCCGGUCUUAUCCGCAGUUUCAGGCAUCCACUGGGGGUCUUGGAAGGUGUCCCCCAAGGACAAGGGGCCUGCUGUACAUGAUCCUGUCCUCUCCCUUUCUCUGACCCUUUACUGCUUACCUGGCGACCAGUCCCUAAGCUCUGGCUGCCGCAAACUCGGCUGUGCCACAUUUCCCACUAUCCAGCUACCAGUCACAAAAACUUUGAAAAAAUAUUCCAUAAACUGAAUGAAAUUAAGAAAAGUAAUAACUAAGCAUAAUAGUUAUUGGACUACACUCAAUCUAACUUGCAACCUUAAAAUUAACUUUGUCUAUUGUUUUUUAAAGAGCAUCCUCUAUAAUUUGAUAAACAGCAAUGAUAACUUUUUCCCUUCUUAUACAUUAGUGUCCAGUUUUAUAAGUGGUGUUUCUGUAAAAAUGACAAAAUUAACAAGUGUGCUACUGUGACUUGAUUUCACUGGAUGCUGUGCCCUUAUUGAACAGUGAAAACAACCUCACUCCCACUCUGGUUCCUUUGUUUUCAUGUUUUUCUCUUUUUUCUAAUCCUUAAUAUGACCCACAACCCGGUCCCACUGCUCCAUUCUCAGGCCUUCUCUCCUAAUACAUUGUCAACAAAUGAUCUCAAUAUUGCCUAUUCCCCUGCUGUCAUUCAGCUUAAUUUGUGAAAACUAUUUUUUCUCGUAAGACGUACUCCAGAUAGCUGUCUUAUAAACUUUAUGAACUGUCAGAUCUUCUAAGGGAAGCAUAGAUGUUUAGAGCUAUAACAAGGCUAAUAAAGUUCAAUUAAUAGUUUUUGUGUCAAGAAAAAAAUCAUUGAUUAAGAUAGUAAGUUUCCACUACAGCUCACAUGCUUAAAACUUUCUUUAAAAGUUCUCCUUCUGGGGCCAGCCCGGUGGCACAGUGGUUAAGUUUGCACAUUCCGCUUCUCAGCAGCCUGGGGUUCACCAGUUUGAAUCCUGGGUGUGGACAUGGCACCGCUUGGCACGCCAUGCUGCGGUAGGUGUCCCACAUAUAAAAAAAAAAAAGUAGAGGAAGGUGGGCACGGAUGUUAGUUCAGGGCCAGGCUUCCUCAGCAAAAAAAGAGGAGGACUGGCAGUAGUUAGCUCGGGACUAAUCUUCCUCAAAAAAAAAAAAAAGAAAGAAAGAAACUGAUAUAUAAUAAUGUACACUUGAAAUUACACAAUGUUAUAAACCAAUAAGACCUCAAUAAAAUAAUUUUUAAAAAAAAGUUCUCCUUCUUUAUCCAUUCAUCUGUUGAUGGGCACUUGGGUUGCUUCCCAGUCUUGGCUGUUGUGAAUAAUGCUGCAAUGAACACAGGGGUGUUUAUAUAUUUUUGAAUUAGUGUUUUCAUGUUCUUUGGAUAUACAAUGGCAUACUACUCAGCCAUAAAAAAGACAAAAUCAUGCCAUUCAUGACAACAUGGAUGGACCUUGAGUGUAUUAUGUUAAGUGAAAUAAGCCAGAUAGAGAAAGACAAAAACCAUAUGAUUUCACUCGUGUGGAAAAUGAACAAACACGUAGAUAAGGAGAACAGAUUGGUA